rnacentral:rRNA from 1 species
UACGUAGGGCGCAAGCGUUAUCCGGAAUUAUUGGGCGUAAAGAGCUCGUAGGCGGUUUGUCGCGUCGGAUGUGAAAAUCCAGGGCUCAACCCUGGACCUGCAUUCGAUACGGGCAGACUAGAGUGUGGUAGGGGAGACUGGAAUUCCUGGUGUAGCGGUGAAAUGCGCAGAUAUCAGGAGGAACACCGGUGGCGAAGGCGGGUCUCUGGGCCAUAACUGACGCUGAGGAGCGAAAGCGUGGGGAGCGAACAGG